rnacentral:rRNA from 1 species
GAUGAACGCUGGCGGCGUGCCUAAUACAUGCAAGUCGAGCGAACGGACGAGAAGCUUGCUUUUCUGAUGUUAGCGGCGGACGGGUGAGUAACACGUGGAUAACCUACCUAUAAGACUGGGAUAACUUCGGGAAACCGGAGCUAAUACCGGAUAAUAUUUUGAACCGCAUGGUUCAAAAGUGAAAGACGGUCUUGCUGUCACUUAUAGAUGGAUCCGCGCUGCAUUAGCUAGUUGGUAAGGUAACGGCUUACCAAGGCAACGAUGCAUAGCCGACCUGAGAGGGUGAUCGGCCACACUGGAACUGAGACACGGUCCAAGCUCCUACGGGAGGCAGCAGUAGGGAAUCUUCCGCAAUGGGCGAAAGCCUGACGGAGCAACGCCGCGUGAGUGAUGAAGGUCUUCGGAUAGAAAAACUCUGUUAUUAGGGAAGAACAUAUGUGUAAGUAACUGUGCACAUCUUGACGGUACCUAAUCAGAAAGCCACGGCUAACUACGUG